CGGGGGCGUCAGUAUUCAGCUGUCAGAGGUGAAAUUCUUGGAUUUGCUGAAGACUAACUACUGCGAAAGCAUUCGCCAAGGAUGUUUUCAUUAAUCAGGGAACGAAAGUUAGGGGAUCGAAGACGAUCAGAUACCGUCGUAGUCUUAACCAUAAACUAUGCCGACUAGGGAUCGGGCGGCGUUUCUUUUAUGACCCGCUCGGCACCUUACGAGAAAUCAAAGUUUUUGGGUUCUGGGGGGAGUAUGGUCGCAAGGCUGAAACUUAAAGAAAUUGACGGAAGGGCACCACAAGGCGUGGAGCCUGCGGCUUAAUUUGACUCAA
rnacentral:rRNA from 1 species